UCCUCAGACUUCAAGCUUCAGGACUGCAUUUAUCCUCAGAGCCUUAAGCUUCAGGACUGCAUUUAUCCUCAGACAUCAAGCUUCAGGACAGCAUUUCUCCUCAGACCUCAAGCUUCAGGACAGCAUUUCUCCUCAGACCUCAAGCUUCAGGACAGCAUUUCUCCUCAGACCUCAAGCUUCAGGACAGCAUCUAUCCUCAGAUCUAAAGCUUCAGGACAGCAUUUCUACUUAUACCUCAAGCUUCAGGACUGCAUUUAUCAUCAGACCUCAAGCUUCAGGACUGCAUUUCUCCUAAGACCUCAAGCUUCAAGACUGCAUUUCUCCUCAGACCUCAAGCUUCAGGACUAUUUUUUGUCCUCAGACCUCAAUCUUCAGGACUGCAUUUAUCCUCAGAGCCUUAAGCUUCAGGACUGCAUUUAUUCUCAGACCUCAAGUUUCAGGUCUGCCUUUAUUCUCAGACCUCAAGUUACAGGACUGCAUUUCUCCUCAGACCUCAAGCUUCAGGACUGCAUUUAUACUCAGACCUCAAGCUUCAGGACAGCAUUUGUACUUAUACCUCGAGCUUAAGGACUGCAUUUAUCCUCAGACCUCAAUCUUCAGGACUGCAUCUAUCCUCAGACCUCAAUCUUCAGGACAUCAUCUAUACUCAGAUCUAAAGCUUUAGGACUGCAUUUAUUCUCAGACCUCAAGUUUCAGGACUGCAUUUAUACUCAGACCUCAAGCUUCAGGACAGCAUUUGUACUUAUACCUCAAGCUUCAGGACAGCAUUUAUACUCAGACCUCAAGCUUCAGGACUGCAUUUCUCCUUAGACCUCAAGCUUCAGGACUGCAUUUCUCCUCAGACCUUAAUCUUCAGGACAGCAUCUAUCCUCAGAUCUAAAGCUUUAGGACUGCAUUUAUUCUCAGACCUCAAGUUUCAGGACUGCAUUGCUCCUUAGACCUCUAACUUCAGGACUGCAUUUGUUCCCAAGAUCUAAAGCUUCAGAACUAGUUUGUACUCAAGAUCUAAAGCUUCUGUACUGUAUUUGUCCUCAAGAAGUAAAGUGCAUUUAUCCUCAGACCUAACUCUGGUCAGCUGAAGAUAGUUAGAAUUGUAUUCUUAAAGUAUUGUAUUUGUAUUUAUUGCUGAAUUCUAUAUGAACACUUCCUGUGAUACAGUAUGAAUGUAGGCCCUGGUCUUAUAGCUGCAUUACUACAUACUGCCAGUUUCCAUAGUUACCUGAUGGUGUUCUGGGGAUUUCACUCUCUUUAAGCAGCCAUACAUCACUUACAUCUAUUAGAGGUAGCUUUUCUAUACAGUUCCACUGGCUGACCGUGAACAGGGGAGAGAAAGAUGAGAGAGAAAGAGAUAGAGGGAGAAAGAAGAUGGGAUGCAGAAAUGGGGGGGGGGGGGGAGAAGAGAAAGGUCAGAGAUAUAGGCUAUCAGGUAAAUCAGACUGUCUACACUGUUAUUUGUAGUGAUCAGAUUGGAUUUGUGUGUCUGGACAGCAACAGUAACAUCCCAUCAGUUUUACCCGCUGUAAACUACUGUAAACAGUUUCUCAUUAAAACUGAUCCUGCUUAGGGAGAGUGUAAAUAAAUUAGAUUAAUGGUGGUGUUUCCA
rnacentral:lncRNA from 1 species